AAAACUCUGGGAGCUAAACAAGCAAAUAUAGCUUGGGAAUGACGUCAAUGGAACUUUCCCUAUAGGGCCCAAAAAGUUAUUUUGCCUCUCCUUUUUUGUCCCUUCAAAGCUAUUUGGGUUUUUCCGAUUUGCAACCCAUUUUAGGCGUUUUUUUUUUUGACCCUUCUCUCUUUUCACAGACACAUUGCAUUUAUAUAUUUUCUUCAUUUCUAAAACCCCUUUUUACCCUUUUUUAUUUUAUUCCCUUUUUCGGUUGAAAAAAUAAAAAGAUAUAGGUAGAAAAUCUGAUAACCCUUUUUUGGGUUUAAUCUGUUGGCAAAAGAAAAGAAAAAACUCUUGUUUACACAUGGCUGUUAUGGAUGAACUUGGAAUUGAUAUCAGGUUAGAAAGUUGAAAUUUUCUAGCCCCAAAGAAAACUUUUAUUUUUGUGUUUGGUUUUUUAUGUUUUCUUUUCUGGUUGAAUUUUGAGUAAAUUAAUGUAAUAUCUUGAUAGAUGGGAGGAAAUCUGCCAUCACUUGACAAAAAAAUAAUAAUUGUAGCGUUGAUGAUUUUUUGGUUUGUAUUCCUUUAGGUUUUAUGUUUUUUUUGAGAUGUUGGGUGUGUGAAUUUACAGUCUUUUUUGGUUGAAUUACAUGAAUUAAUGGAAUUUCUGAUGUGGGUCCUGCUUGAAAAUUCAAGAAACGAUGUUGGAUAUUGAGAAAUGAGUAUUUGGUAUUGUUGGACUUGUGUUAAAUCUUGAAUUUUGUGACACUUCGAGGAUUAUUGUAUCUUUAUUAGGUGUGUAGUUUUUUUUUUUCCUUCUUUUUUUUAGUUUCAUUUGGUUUGAAUGGAGUACUGUAUGAUUGAUGUUGAUGGAUUGGGCAACAGCUCGGAUAUUGAAGUCGAUGACAUAAGGUGUGACAAUAUAGCGGAAAAGGAUGUGAGUGAUGAAGAGAUUGAUCCUGAGGAAUUGGAGAGGCGAAUGUGGAAAGACCGUGUAAAGCUCAAGAGGCUUAAGGAAAGGCAGAAACUUGCAGCACAACAAGCUGCAGAGAAGCUGCAGAAGAACAAGCAAACGACUGAUCAAGCUCGGCGGAAAAAGAUGUCCAGAGCUCAAGAUGGGAUAUUGAAGUACAUGUUGAAACUUAUGGAGGUGUGCAAGGCUCGAGGAUUUGUUUAUGGGAUUAUACCUGAGAAGGGUAAACCGGUUAGCGGUGCAUCGGAUAAUAUUAGAGCUUGGUGGAAGGAAAAGGUGAAGUUUGAUAAGAAUGGUCCUGCUGCAAUAGCAAAGUAUGAAGCGGAAUGCCGUGCAAAAGGAGAGGGAAUUGGAAAACAAAACGGGAACCCACAAAGUGUUUUGCAGGAUUUGCAGGAUGCUACCUUGGGGUCCCUUUUGUCUUCUUUAAUGCAACAUUGUGAUCCACCUCAGCGGAAGUUCCCGUUGGAGAAAGGUGUCUCACCACCCUGGUGGCCAUCAGGGAACGAGGAAUGGUGGGUGAAAAUGGGGCUGCCUAAGGGACAGAAAACACCAUACAAGAAGCCGCAUGAUUUAAAGAAAAUGUUUAAAGUUGGUGUUCUAACUGCUGUUAUAAAGCAUAUGUCACCUGAUAUUGCAAAGAUCAGGAGAUUAGUGCGGCAGUCAAAGUGUUUACAGGAUAAGAUGACUGCAAAGGAGAGCUCAAUAUGGUUAUCUGUUUUAAGCAGAGAGGAAUCUACUAUCCAGCAACCAACCAGUGACAACGGAUCAUCUAGCAUAAGCGAGGCACCUAAUAGAGGUCACGGUCAAAAGAAGAAACCUUCUGUUGAUAGUGACAGUGAUUAUGAUGUUGAUGAUGUUAAUGUCUCUGCUUCAUCUAGAGAUGAGACGAGAAAUGAACCAUUGGAUGCUCCUCCUCUGAGUGCUGUUCCUCAAUCUCACCAAGGUAAAGAUGGACAACGUCGAAGAAGAAAACGUGCUAGGUUGAACUUUCAACAGACUGAACCUGAUGACGAGGCUAGAAACACCUUACCUGAUAUAAACAAUUCCAAUGUGCAGCUUUCAGGGUACAAUACAAAUGAAAGCCAACCGGAGAACAAUAUUGUGGGAGCAAAGAAGCCUGUGGAGAAAAACUCUGCUGAAUUACCAUUAAGAGACUCCAACCUUUCCUUGGUUCCAUCAGCUGAUGCAGUCUCUACAGAGGAUGCAUUCGUUGGCAAUGGGCCAUCAAUUUAUCCAAUGUUGGAAAACUCUGUUAUCCCGUAUGAAUCAAGGUUUCAUCUUGGAACUCAAGAUUCUGUUGCGCAGCGCCAGCUUCAUGAUACUCAGUUGCAGAGCAGAACUCAGUUCUCUGGGAUGAAUAAUGAACCUCGAAGUUCGAUAUUUCAUUAUGGACCUCCAAACAAUGGGUUGCAUAACGGACCUCAAAGUUCUGUCCUACAUCAUGAGCUACAGGAUCCGAGUUUCACUCAUGGAUCUCAAUAUUCAAACUUGCAUCAAUCCCCUGUAUAUCAAUAUUAUACACCAUCGGCUGAAUUUGGGUCAGCUCAUGAAGAGCAGCAGUCUCACCUGGCAUUCGGUCAACCUCAGAUUAAGCCACGGGAUUCUGGAGUUAGAAAUGAUAUUUCUAGAGAGGACCAUCGAUAUGGAAAAGACACAUUUCAGAAUGAUCAUGAUAGACCUGUUGAGAUGCAUUUUGCAUCUCCAAUCACUAGUGGCUCACCCGAUUAUGCUAGACUCAGCAGUCCAUUUAACUUUGAGCUUGAUGUCCCAAGUGCGUUAGAUGCUGGUGAUUUGGAACUAUUCCUUGAUGAAGACGUUAUGACAUUCUUUGCUUCGUAGGCAGUUAUGUGGAAAAUACAACAUUUAGAAUGAACCACCUGAAGGCUGCGCCAACAUAUUGUGAACUGGAGUGAGUCCUCUCUCAUAAAAUGAGAUCCUGGACUCACAAAUGAUAUUUUCCUUGUGGAGGUAAACAGAGAACAAACAAUACCCAACACGCAGUUUCGGAUAUUUUAAUUAAUUUGCUUUUCCUGCCAUCCUUUGGAAAGGGAAAAUUUCACUGUUUUUUGUGAUAGAUUACAAGUGGAAUGCAUGUUUUAAUUGUUCCAUCCUGGUGAACAUAUCGUGGAUCGUCUUUGAUGGAACAAAUAUAUAAAGGAUUCAAGUAAUUUGCAUG